rnacentral:misc_RNA from 1 species
GAUGAAGAACGUAGCGAAAUGCGAUAAGUAGUGUGAAUUGCAGAAUUCAGUGAAUCAUCGAAUCUUUGAACGCACAUUGCGCCCCUUGGUAUUCCGUGGGGCAUGCCUGUUCGAGCGUCAUUUAACCCCUCAAGCCUAGCUUGGUAUUGGGUGCUUGUCCCGCCUCUCGCGCGGCGACUCACCUCAAAGUCAUUGGCAGCCCGCAUCUCGCCGGCCGUGAGCGCAGCACAGACGCGCUCUUGGCAACGACGGAUCGGCUCUCCAAAAGCUUAUUUCAACCACUGACCUCGGAUCAGGUAGGGAUACCCGCUGAACUUAAGCAUAUCAAUAAGCGGAGGA